CCUACGGGAGGCAGCAGUGAGGAAUAUUGGUCAAUGGACGGAAGUCUGAACCAGCCAUGCCGCGUGCAGGAAGACGGCUCUCUGAGUUGUAAACUGCUUUUGUACAAGGGUAAACCUGAAUACGUGUAUUCAGCUGAAAGUACUGCACGAAUAAGGAUCGGCUAACUCCGUGCCAGCAGCCGCGGUAAUACGGAGGAUCCAAGCGUUAUCCGGAUUUAUUGGGUUUAAAGGGUGCGUAGGCGGAUUGAUAAGUUAGAGGUGAAAUGUCCGGGCUUAACUCGGGAACUGCCUCUGAUACUGUUGGUCUAGAGAGUAGAUGCGGUAGGCGGAAUGUAUGGUGUAGCGGUGAAAUGCUUAGAGAUCAUACAGAACACCGAUUGCGAAGGCAGCUUACCAAUCUAUAUCUGACGUUGAGGCACGAAAGCGUGGGGAGCAAACAGGAUUAGAUACCCGGGUAGUC
rnacentral:rRNA from 1 species